rnacentral:rRNA from 1 species
GGUAGUCCACGCCGUAAGCGAUGUCGACUUGGAGGUUGUGCCCUUGAGGCGUGGCUUCCGGAGCUAACGCGUUAAGUCGACCGCCUGGGGAGUACGGCCGCAAGGUUAAAACUCAAAUGAAUUGACGGGGGCCCGCACAAGCGGUGGAGCAUGUGGUUUAAUUCGAUGCAACGCGAAGAACCUUACCUACUCUUGACAUCCAGAGAACUUAGCAGAGAUGCUUUGGUGCCUUCGGGAACUCUGAGACAGGUGCUGCAUGGCUGUCGUCAGCUCGUGUUGUGAAAUGUUGGGUUAAGUCCCGCAACGAGCGCAACCCUUAUCCUUUGUUGCCAGCGGUUAGGCCGGGAACUCAAAGGAGACUGCCAGUGAUAAACUGGAGGAAGGUGGGGAUGACGUCAAGUCAUCAUGGCCCUUACGAGUAGGGCUACACACGUGCUACAAUGGCGCAUACAAAGAGAAGCGACCUCGCGAGAGCAAGCGGACCUCAUAAAGUGCGUCGUAGUCCGGAUUGGAGUCUGCAACUCGACUCCAUGAAGUCGGAAUCGCUAGUAAUCGUAGAUCAGAAUGCUACGGUGAAUACGUUCCCGGGCCUUGUACACACCGCCCGUCACACCAUGGGAGUGGGUUGCAAAAGAAGUAGGUAGCUUAACCUUCGGGAGGGCGCUUACCACUUUGUGAUUCAUGACUGGGGUGAAGUCGUAACAAGGUAACCGUAGGGGAACCUGC